UCGGUAUAUAUAACCUAUCUACAUCUGC
rnacentral:sRNA from 1 species